UACCCGCAGCUCAAGUGGUGGUCAUUAUUAUUGGGCCUAAAGCGUCCGUAGCAGGCUUGUUAGAUGCCUGGGUAAAUCGAUGCGCUUAACGCAUCGAAUUCCGGGUAGACCGGCAAGCUCGAGACCGGGAGAGGCGUGAGCUACUCAAGGGGUAGGGGUAAAAUCCUGUAAUCCUUUGGGGAGGACCAGUGGCGAAGGCGUCACGCUAGAACGGCUCUGACUGUGAGGGACGAAGCCCUGGGGCGCAAACCGGG
rnacentral:rRNA from 1 species